rnacentral:rRNA from 1 species
AACGAACGCUGGCGGCAGGCUUAACACAUGCAAGUCGAGCGCCCCGCAAGGGGAGCGGCAGACGGGUGAGUAACGCGUGGGAACGUACCUUUUGGUUCGGAACAACUCCGGGAAACUGGAGCUAAUACCGGAUAAGCCCUAACGGGGAAAGAUUUAUCGCCGAAAGAUCGGCCCGCGUCUGAUUAGCUAGUUGGUGAGGUAACGGCUCACCAAGGCGACGAUCAGUAGCUGGUCUGAGAGGAUGAUCAGCCACACUGGGACUGAGACACGGCCCAGACUCCUACGGGAGGCAGCAGUGGGGAAUAUUGGACAAUGGGCGCAAGCUUGAUCCAGCCAUGCCGCGUGAGUGAUGAAGGCCUUAGGGUUGUAAAGCUCUUUUGUCCGGGAAGAUAAUGACUGUACCGGAAGAAUAAGCCCCGGCUAACUUCGUG